CCAGAGCUCCCAUUCGAGUGAUCCAGAGGUCAGGCGCCCCAGUCCUUUCGCUGUCGCCUUAUAAAGACGGAUUUAUUGCCAGCCAAGGUGAUGGGACUUGUUUUAUUAUGCAGCAGGAUCUCGAUCACGUGCUUGAAUUAACCGGACCCGACUGUGAUCCUGUGUACAAGGUAGCUCCUUGGGGGAAGGAAAUAUACACCUGUUGCCGAGAUGGGAUCCUGAGGAGAUACCAGCUGAUUUCUGAUCUGUGAUCUGCCUGGAAGGGCCAACAACGGAUCGCAAAUGCUGGAUUUAGUUCAGGGAUUUCUCUCAGUGACUCUUUGGAAAGGGGCCUGGUUUGUAGUCCUCUAUAGCUGCGGUUUCCAAAGCUGGCCUGCUUUAAGUGAGGUGGACUUCAACUCCCAGAAUGCUGCCUGGGGAAUUCUGGGAGUUGAAGUCCACCCCCUCUUAAAGUGGAAACACCGCUCUAUCUCCACACAGUUGCUUGAACAGAGCUGACAGGUGUGACUUUUAAGAAGACCUCACCUGAACUCAGGGCUGAACUGGGUAGUCCUGUGAAAACGAGACACGGGGGGUGAGGGAGUGUGGGGGCUGAAAGUUUGGCUCAGAAGGUUUCUUUGUUAUUAAAGACCACCUGGCAUUUGGAAAAGC